rnacentral:rRNA from 1 species
AUUGAACGCUGGCGGAAUGCUUUACACAUGCAAGUCGAACGGUAGAGGGGGCAACCCUUGAGAGUGGCGAACGGGUGAGUAAUAUAUCGGAACGUGCCCAGUCGUGGGGGAUAACGUAGCGAAAGUUACGCUAAUACCGCAUACGAUCUAGGGAUGAGCCCGCGUAGGAUUAGCUAGUUGGUGAGGUAAAGGCUCACCAAGGCUACGAUCCUUAGCUGGUCUGAGAGGAUGAUCAGCCACACUGGGACUGAGACACGGCCCAGACUCCUACGGGAGGCAGCAGUGGGGAAUUUUGGACAAUGGACGAAAGUCUGAUCCAGCCAUUCCGCGUGCAGGAUGAAGGCCCUCGGGUUGUAAACUGCUUUUGUACGGAACGAAAAGGUUUCUCUUAAUACGAGGAGCUCAUGACGGUACCGUAAGAAUAAGCACCGGCUAACUACGUG